UGGGGCUGGAAACAGCGGAGGGGCGGCAGCAGGACCCGCUGUGGGACCCCCAGGGGUAUCGCCUCCCUCAGAGCUUCGCACAAAGCUCCGUGCUGAGGGGACUUGGUAAUUAAAAACUAAUAAUAAACCCCCCACAAGUAGUGAGGAGGGUCCAUAAAAGGUCGGGCAGGGGUUGUGACCUGGUUUUGUGGGGAGUGUUUGGGCUGGUCCUCUUUGGCCUGGCUGUGGUUUAUAGAUUUAUAGGGGAAUAGAGAUCCAGAAUAGUUGGUUUGUGGAUUUAGGAUGGAAUAAGGAUGGGGAAUAGUUCUUUUUUUUAUUUAUAAAGGAAUAGGGAUAGGGAAUAGUUAGGUCAAGGAUUUAUAAGGGAAUAGGGAUGGGUAACAGUUUAUGGGUUUAUAGUGGAAAAGAGAUAAGGAAUGGACGGUUUAAGGAUUAAUAGGGGAAUAGGGAUGGGGAAGGGUUGGUUCAUGGAUUUAUAGCAAAAUAGGGAUGAGAAAAGGUUGGUUCAUGGAUUUAUAGCAAAAUAGGGAUGAAGAAGGGUUGGUUUAUGGAUUUAUAAGGGAGUAGGGAUGGGAAAUGGUUGAUUUAUAGGGGAAUAGGGAUGGGGAACAGUUGGUUUAUGGAUCAACAGGGGACUAGGCGUGAGGAACGGUUGGCAGUGAUGGUCUUUUAGACUAAAAAAGUUAAAAGGAUGAAGCUUUUUUGCUGUGCCUUCAUGAAGAAGUGGGUAAAUCCUGAUUAUUUACAGAGCAGGAGUUGGGCUCAUCCCUAUAACAGCCAACCCGUGCCCUUUGCUUUCCAUCUCCUGCCAGGGGCUUGGAAAUCUGAGGUUUGGGGAUGUGGUUGGGUCUUUCUGCAGUCCCACAACAAGAACAGUCCGGAGGAAAGGAGGGGAAUUUGGAAACGGGACACCCACACUGCUCUCCUGGAUGGGAUUGAUGAAAACAGCUUCAUGGGGAGCUCUGAGCACAAUGGAUUGAUCGGCUCCACUUUGCAGAGGGAUCAUUGUCUAAAUCUCCACCCACCUUUUGUGUCCCGAAGCUGCUCGGAUAACCCGGGAUGGAACAAAGUGUCGUUGCCAAAAUAAAGCAGUGUCUGCUCUCCUGCAGCUCAGAGGAGAAGCCUGGCCUGGCCAGCAGCCAGGGAAAAAUCUGGGAGUCCUGGAAAGUAAAAGGGAGGAGAAGAAAGUCCUUUUCCUGCUGCAGGCAUCUGCCCUUAGCUCCCAGAACUCGACAUAAAUGGAGCUUGUGUUCACCUCAC